CUUGGGUAACUAAAUCUUGGGUAUUAGCUGAUAAGAAGAGGUGUCAGAGGUGUUAUGAAACAAAUCAGAUGAAUAAUGGGCGAACUGUUAUCGCUUUCACAGACCGAAGGCGCGGCGGGCAGAGCGGCCUUCUCACCCCCUUCCCUUCACUUGUCGGGAAUUGGGGCAUUUUUCAGUCGCAUCUUCGCCCUUCUUGGGGGCGGCCUUAGAUUGCCGGCAGCUGUCUUAGAUCAGAGCUGUUUAUUCCACAGCGAAACCACUUUGGAUCGAGACGAGGGAGAGAGCGCAGAGCGGGGGCACCCUCCCGAGCCUUUGAAGCGCCUCUGGUCGUUCGUUCUCUUCUGCUCGGCAAAGUCCAAGCCCUCCACUCUCGUCACAACGCAGAGCCCCGAGAUAAGAGAAGCGUCCUGCACACGAGCACGGUCACACGUCCGAAGUAACAGCGGACCUCCUCUCGCGUUUCCGAAGCUCGGGUGCUCGACGCCGCUAUCCGCCCCAUCCAAAGCGGUUUCUUUCCCCCUUCCCCGCUCCGCUUUUAGAAGAUAUUUCUUUAUUUGGUCAAGGAAUCCUAUCAGCGUCAGGAGAAAAGUUGUGGUUCUAAUUCUCUUAACGUAAGGAGGGGAGAGGGGAAAGAAGCUUAUCUCCCCGCUUUUUAUUUUAUUACUACUAUUGUUGUUGUUUUCAUUGGACACCGACUCGAGCACAUCGUAGCGAAUUUAGAUGCACUUGCAGGACGGGUUGUAGAGUCCACCUUCGGCAUAGGAAGGCCCUUGCGAAGCGCGGGGUGCCGAGAUGAUACAUGCAGCUCCGGAGGCUGUGGGAACCCGAGUCGGAAGCCAGCUUGCUUUUGCUUCGCUUCCCACCGCCAUCCGCUUUCCAAUCCGCGUAAAAGCCUUUUGGUUUUGUCUUAAAAGGCAUCUGAGAACCAACCGUUCGGAAUAAGCAAGGAGUGUGUGAAGGGGGAAUCACCCAAACCUGUAGGAAGCUGGAAUUGGCCCUCUGCGCUUCGACAGCGAAUAGCAGCCACCAAGUACCAUCCCCUUCAGAUCUGCCCUGCAGCAGCUCUUCCUGCUGCCAACUUGCAGUAAAAUUUAUUGCCCUGUUUCAUCAGAUGACAAGAAACAAUGCCAGCAAUUUCUCCAGUGCUAUCUAUAUGUGAUCAAACAGCAUCAAACUUAUCCACACACUGAACAAAGAGGGAAAGUCACUUCUGGGGUGACAGUCAUCUCAUCCUGAAGCAAAUGUAUAAACUAGGUCAGAUAAAACUUUACUUGCAAUAAAAGGAUCUGGAAGGAGACUGGCUGAGGCAUCAAUUUCGACACUGAAGAGGUCUACGUAUGGACUGGAAAGAAGUGUACAAGCAGCCACUCCUGAAACACAUCAGAAACUCUGCUUUCAGCUUCUCUUCUGGCAAUGCUGGAACUUCCAGAAGAGUCGUUGAUGCCUGCCUAAUUCUGCUGAAGCAAUCAGGAGAAGAUUCAGAUCGGAAUUACUACCAGCAGUGGAAGGGGAGAACUAGAAACAGAAGGGAGAUAUGGAUUUCCAUUCCUACUUCCAUCCACUGUAUGCUGUGGUGAGCACCAGUGCAGUUACUAAAACCCAAUGGUGACAUCGAUGGCUGAAUGUUGUUCAUGGAAGUGGCUUUAUGAUCUAGACUCACAGAGUGCUUGGUCUUCUCAUCUGCUUCCUGAGAUUUGUCUUUUGGGAUUGUUCUUUACUUCCCACGUUCAAAAGUGAACUGGGCAGCCACAUGCAUUUCUUUUACUGAACCCAGAGUAGAGAUAAGCUGUUAUUAAUUUAUUAUGGGUUUCUUCAUGAAAUGAAUACAUUUCUUUCAGCUAUUUCUUUCACUAGUUUAGAACUAAUAUAUUGCCAACACUAUUUUCCUGUAGAAAAAAGGACUGGAAGAAAUGGUACAAAAUCCAUAGCAGAGAUAGAUCCAGGAGCCAACUGCCUUCAUUUGUUUAGAUUCACUGUAGAACUCAGUGUAAUUAAAUCUGCUCCCGGUUCAGUAAGAUUGAUGGAGGAAAGAAACCUAGGAAACUUCAGGGAGGGAGAAGAGAGGUUGCAAAAAUCACCAGAUGGCGCUGGUAGAUACGGCGUGCCAGAACAACACAGGCUGUGAGCACUUCUCUGCCUCUGGACCAAGGCAACUUUAUGGCUGGAUUGCAUUGCAUGAUCUGAACAUAUGGUGCUAUGCAUUGGUGGUUUUCAUUUGGUGGUCUCCCCAAACAUAUUGCACAUAUUAUGUGUUGUACAUUUUCAGAAUUAAGAAAUAAAGUAAAAUUCAGAAAUAGAGAAUUCACACAGUUACACAUACUCCUUGGGUCCAAAAGCAAUUUAGAAAUAUAGAGUGCUGUGGUUUAACCCCGACAGGCAACUAAGCAACACACAGCUUCUUGUUUACUCCUCCCAGGUGGGAUGGGGGAGACAACUGGAAAAGAAAAACAGUGAGUACUCAUGUGUUUGAGACAAAGACAUUUUACCAGGUAAAGCAAAGGCUGUAUGCAACAAGCAAAGCAAAGAAUUCAUUCAGUACUUCCCAUCAGCAGGCUGCUGUUCAUCCAGUUCCAAGAAAGCAGGGCUCAUCACAGCAUCAUAGAAUCAUAGAAUGGCUUGACUUGAAAGGGACCACGAUGAUCAUCUAGUUUCAACCCCCCUGCUAUGUGCAGGGUCGCCAACCACGCACGCUUCAUGGUUUACUGGGAAGAAAAAUGCCAUGCUAUCACUCCGUAUAUCCUCCCUUUCUCCUUCUUUACCUCAUCUUUUAUUGUUGAUCAUGAAUCCAUACAGUAUGGAAUAUCCCUCUAGCUAGUUUAGAUCAGCUGUCCUGGUUCUGCCCCCUCCCAGCUCCUUGUACUGCCCCAGCCCCUCGCUGUCAGGGCAGCAAAAGAAACUGAAACAUCCUUGGGUCUGUGUAGUACUGCUCAACAACUAAAACACUGGUGUACUAUCACCACUGUUUUCAUCAAAAGUACAAAACACAUAAUGCAAAUUAACUCUAUCCCAGACAAACCACGUAACAGGACUAUCACUAGGGUUGGGAUGGCUCUUUUUCUUCCUCUGUAUAAAUACAUGAGGACAUUCUUCAUGUUUGGUUUUAAAUAAAAUUGUAGGGGUUUUGUUUAGAAACAUCAUAAUUUUGGAAAAUGUCAUACAGAAAUUUGAGAGAUCCUCUUUUCCUUCUGUUUGAGAAAACUGAAAACAUUAAUUCAUUUUUGACUCUUGGUAGCACAUCUUUAUUUAUUCUUUUUUUUUUUUUUAAUUUUAAAUAUGGUUUGCUAUAGUAAUUAACUUAUAGCAGAAUUCUUCCAGAACAUUAAAAUGAACAUAUGCCCCUUCUUUUUUUCCCCAUUCCUUAACAGUCUGUUCUUUUCUAAUCACAACUGGUUGGGGAAUCUGACUUCUUUUUCCAAAUCAGUGCACUGAGAAAAGUUCUACCCCUUAUAUUGUUACAGUCUCUGAUUCUUAUGUGACCCAACUUGAUCCAAUUUAGUUUGUAGAAUUUGAGAGGAUCACAGCUCAAAGGGCAGUGCUAAGUGGACUGUCUAAUUUUAACUCUUUGAUGACUUCAGAGAUGUUGCUUUGUAGGCCAAUACACACAUACCCAUCUGAGGUAGCAUCAGUAAGGUGCAGAACAACGUGGCUCUGCUCCAGCAAAGCACUUAACCAGUCGUUCAGCGUGGAGCCCCAGGGCUGAAGUGAAGAGGGAGGUACUGUGACAUGACUUGCACUAUGAACUGCAUUUAGAUUUAUGGCUAGUGUUGAUCUGAAAAUCAGGAUAGUUAAUCCAAACAUAGUGUUUAUUUUGCACUGAAAAGAGUUAUUCACAAAGGUUAACCUAACCUAAUAGAGUCACUCCCAGAGGCUCUCUGGGUAAGCCCAUCUUGCUACGCUCAUUGUAGAGGAUGUUUAGAGAGAUUAAUCUUGUGACGAUAAAGUGAGCCUUUGUGAAAACCCUUCCAAAUGUCAUGCACAUAAUAUUUUUCUGACCUACUACAUCUCUUGGACUCUGCAUAAUAUUUCUAAAAUGCUCUAAACCAUUCCAACAUUUUGGAAAGUGUUACCUCUCUGCUUAAUCCUCAGGUGGAUGGUGUAAUAUCUGAAACUGUGUUUAGAGCUGAAGCUUGCUUUCAAUGCUGGUGUUAACCACAGCUUUAUGCUUGAAAGUUUUCAAUUGUUCCCCUGGUUUAUUGACUGAAGUGUACCACUGACACAUCUGUGGAUCAUAUGAUGUUGAUUCUUUCAGUGACAGCUUCUGCAAAAGUGAUACACUUUUCCAAGUUGUUAAAGUAGCUUUAUGGUUUUCAACUCCCCUGCUUCACCUCAGUCAAAUGCAGGAACAAAGUUUGUGUUGAACAAGUGAAUACUAAGAUAUUAAUAUGGAC
rnacentral:lncRNA from 1 species